rnacentral:rRNA from 1 species
UCCUACGGGGCGCAGCAGUGGGGAAUAUUGGACAAUGGGGGAAACCCUGAUCCAGCGACGCCGCGUGAGUGAAGAAGUAUUUCGGUAUGUAAAGCUCUAUCAGCAGGGAAGAAAAUGACGGUACCUGACUAAGAAGCCCCGGCUAACUACGUGCCAGCAGCCGCGGUAAUACGUAGGGGGCAAGCGUUAUCCGGAUUUACUGGGUGUAAAGGGAGCGUAGACGGCACUGCAAGUCUGAUGUGAAAGAUUGGGGCUCAACCCCAGGCCUGCAUUGGAAACUGUAAAGCUGGAGUACAGGAGAGGUA